CAGACAUAUGAUGUCGUAACUGUCGGAGCACCGGCCUCUCACUGCCAGGGUUUCUAAAAAUGGCGUUCUGAGGAAGCUCAUCCAGAAGUUUGAGGAAGCAAAGAAACACGUAAAUGAGGAGGAAUGUAGUGCCCUCUCCAGCUCAGUCAUCAUCCACAUACCCCAGGACACUGUCCGAGCCAAAGAGAUCAUCGCCCACGUCAACACGCAGAAGACUCAGACCCGUCAGCUGGUGACAGUGUGCGGCUGCAAGCUGCUAGCUUCAGCUAUUUAGGCCCUGAACGCAGUACGGGGCGAGUACAUCGCAACCAAAGCUUCUCCUUCCGCUGAGUCUGAACAAGUAGUGCUCCGCAAUGACCAGGAUACGCUGAGAGCAAAGUACAGCGGUCACAACAGCCAGUCGUCACUGCACGUGGACUGGCACGAAGAGGAGUGGGCCACGCCCACAGACUACAGAGCCACGAUGAGCAACAAAGCCAAGAAGUCUAUGGACUUCCUGCUGAUGCAGGACACCGCCCCGACGAUAGCCACGGACGUGUCACUGCAGUACCGCCUCGACAUCGUCUUCUGCCAAACGGUCACCUACACAUAUUUUAAUUAUUGAAUGUCUGAGCUGAUGCGUUUAUCCUGCAGUGACUCAGAGUGAAGGAGAAGGCCAAGAAGAAGUGUAAAUAUCAUAAAAGCAAGGAGUUCAGAGCUCUACGACUUAGUGUCUUUAUGGUAUUUAUGUGUGUAAUGGAGACCAGGGGUUCCAUUACCCUUACUUGUAUUUUUAUUAAUUGACUGACUGAUUUGUAUUUAAAAACCAUAAUGAAGAAAAACACACACUGGUUGAUUGUGAUCUUUAUUAGGUUUUUUGGGUUGUUAUUUAAGUGACUCGUGAAAGGUGAAGAGACAGGGGGACUGGCCAUCCUACCUGUGUCAGGAAAAGAACCCGUGUUAGAGCUGUUCACAUUUAAACAUUUGUCUGUAACCUAAAUUAGUUGUAUAUGUAAAAAGAGAAGUGUUAACAGUACUCACUUUGUAAAGAGUAAAAGCAGCUCAAUCACCUGCUUAUGAGCUCCUGGAGCAAACCAAUGUGCCAGGCUAGGGGAGUGUGUGUUGGAGUGAUUUUGUUAAAAGUUGUCAUUAUUGUGCUUGGACCUUGUCUUGAACUGUAUGUUCAGAUAUUUUUCUGUUCCUCCCCCACAUGUAGGAUGUUGGGGAUGUUACUAGCUAUAGUUUUCAACUGCAGGCACAAUCUAUGUAAGAUUCUGGUUUCCUUAUUUGGUAAGGAAUGUUCACUUCCUGCCCUUUACAGUAUGGGCUCACCAUGUAAAUGGUGGACUGUUAAAGAGGUUAAGCCAUAUACGAGGUUGAGGGGAGAUGCCCUUUUAUGACUAGAGAUGCGGUUAAAACGUUUGUAACCAGGAAGUCACGUAUACACACACACACACACACACACACACACACACAGUGCCUUAGCUUUUACCACACAACAUAUGGGGUUUACAAUGGGCGGUUGUGUAACUGUUUUCAUUCAAUAAAAGGCUGGAGUUGGA